rnacentral:other from 1 species
CAGGCUCGACCCUGUGCGUUAGCGGCGAAGACAUUUUGGGCCAACACCCUAACUGACGAGGGAGUCUCCAUUAAGGGCCUUGCUGCUCCGGACGAGCGCACCGUCCUCUGGGACACCCACCUGCGAAGCAGGUUCAAAAAAUUCGCCGCGACGGCAGGGUGGAGCCUUU